GAUGAACGCUAGCUACAGGCUUAACACAUGCAAGUCGAGGGGAAACGAUGAGAGAGCUUGCUCUCUUAGGCGACGACCGGCGCACGGGUGAGUAACGCGUAUCCAACCUACCCAUUACAGGGGGAUAACCUUGCGAAAGUAAGACUAAUACCCCAUGGCAUUUUAUGGUGGCAUCAUUAUAGGAUUAAAGAUUUAUUGGUAAUGGAUGGGGAUGCGUCUGAUUAGCUUGUUGGCGGGGUAACGGCCCACCAAGGCAACGAUCAGUAGGGGUUCUGAGAGGAAGGUCCCCCACAUUGGAACUGAGACACGGUCCAAACUCCUACGGGAGGCAGCAGUGAGGAAUAUUGGUCAAUGGGCGAGAGCUUGAACCAGCCAAGUAGCGUGCAGGAUGACGGCCCUAUGGGUUGUAAACUGCUUUUAUAGGGGAAUAAAGUGAGCUACGUGUAGUUUAUUGCAUGUACCCUAUGAAUAAGGACCGGCUAAUUCCGUG
rnacentral:rRNA from 1 species